UAACGCGUAGGCAACCUACCCUUUAGACGGGGACAACAUUCCGAAAGGAGUGCUAAUACCGGAUGUGAUCAUCGUGCCGCAUGGCAGGAUGAAGAAAGAUGGCCUCUACAAGUAAGCUAUCGCUAAAGGAUGGGCCUGCGUCUGAUUAGCUAGUUGGUAGUGUAACGGACUACCAAGGCGAUGAUCAGUAGCCGGUCUGAGAGGAUGAACGGCCACAUUGGGACUGAGACACGGCCCAAACUCCUACGGGAGGCAGCAGUGGGGAAUCUUCCGCAAUGGACGAAAGUCUGACGGAGCAACGCCGCGUGAGUGAUGAAGGAUUUCGGUCUGUAAAGCUCUGUUGUUUAUGACGAACGUGCAGUGUGUGAACAAUGCAUUGCAAUGACGGUAGUAAACGAGGAAGCCACGGCUAACUACGUGCCAGCAGCCGCGGUAAUACGUAGGUGGCGAGCGUUGUCCGGAAUUAUUGGGCGUAAAGAGCAUGUAGGCGGCUUAAUAAGUCGAGCGUGAAAAUGCGGGGCUCAACCCCGUAUGGCGCUGGAAACUGUUAGGCUUGAGUGCAGGAGAGGAAAGGGGAAUUCCCAGUGUAGCGGUGAAAUGCGUAGAUAUUGGGAGGAACACCAGUGGCGAAGGCGCCUUUCUGGACUGUGUCUGACGCUGAGAUGCGAAAGCCAGGGUAGCGAACGGGAUUAGAUACCCCGGUAGUCCUGGCCGUGAACGAUGGGUACUA
rnacentral:rRNA from 1 species